CUCGGUGAAAAGCAAGCUUGACUCACGGCAGAAACAAAACGGGAAAACCUAAUAAACACGCUGAAAGUUGCUCUAAACGCUUGUUUCUUGGGAAAUUAUCGUCUUUUUACCACUUUUUUUUUUUUUUUACAAAAACGCUUCAUAAAGCAAGAAAAGCAAGCCUUGUGUGCGGAGUUUUCUUCAUUGGUUCGCUGGCUGUCUAGCGGCACACAGACACCUGUUGUGAGGACAGGACAACACGUAAAAGAUGAACAUCUUGCAAACUGGAAAGACUCCCGAUGCAAAGCAUGACUUUUACAGCAGCAUAUUUUCUGGAGGCUGUCAUACUCACAGAUGCACUAAUGUUUUCAGUCCACGGAAAGCGUACGGCGAUAUGGAAGUGAUUUGGUUGUUUUCGAUGAACCUUUAGAGGAGGAAAAAAGACAAACGUUCAGCCAAUUGAUGAAGAAGCCACUCUAGAAGAAGAAGAAGGUGUGGUCCGUACUUACAGAUACUCCAGAUGAGGAAGACCCAGGAAAGCAUCCUCGUUUAUUGACUCCAGGUUAUUGGCGGUGAAAAGGCUGCACACAGAGAGAUCACCACUCGGAAUUCUACUAUUUGAAGUCAUCAGUCAUGCCAUUAUUUACCUUUUUGUAAACUAGUUUACAAAAAAGGUAUGAUCUCAUUCAUUCAAACAAAACAAAAACUUAAAUUAUAUUAGGAAAGCAGGAAGUGAACAAAUGUAACAGUUACUGAUUGUAAAAGUACCAGAUGGAGGGGUAGGAUUUAAUAAGCUUUGCUUCUGCCUACUCCUUUUGGACAUGUGAAACUGUGAACUGAUUAUGUGAUGCAUUCAAUUGUAACCUGAGUUGUGGACUCCUAUAGAGCAGCUACGCACAAUAACUCGCACAGAAAACGUUCUAGUUCUUCCAGAAUCUGCACCCAUUCAGCUGGAUUUCUUUGGAUUUUGUGGUUCCAGUGAAAACGGUCUGUUUUAAUGUAUUCCACCCACGGCCCGCCUCAGGGCGCACAGAAAACAUUCUAGUUCUUCCAGAAUCUGCACCUAUUCAGCUGGAUUUCUUUGGAUUUUGUGGUUCCAGCGAAAACAGUCUGUUUUAAUGUAUUCCACCCACGGCCCGCCUCAAGGCACGCCCACCCUGCUGUGGUAGGUCACACCACCAGUGUUUGGUUUGUGUUGGAUCCUGAAUCCGAUCCUUCGAGGCGUCUCUGAAUGGUAAGUAGCUUUAGCAUUUUAACCUUUAGCAUCGGUAACGUGUCAUGUGCCGUUGUGUAGAGCCACUGGUUGUUUUGUGACCUUAUUCCCAUCAUGUUACUACUUUGUCCCCACCUCAUAUUCCAAAAAUGACAACAUAUUUUUCUUGUUUGUUUCUCAUAAUAUUACAAUGUUUGUGUUUGUGUUACUUUUUCCCAUUUGAUUACAACUUUUUGCUCUGAAAGCAAUAGUUUUUAUUUUUCUUGUGUAACCUCACCAUCAGCACUGGAGUCCAUAGGCGACAACUUGGACCACUAAGGACAGUUCUGCUUGGAUUUCGGUGAUGAAGGUACCGUAGUUGUACUCAUGUGAGUAAAGAGUUUUGGCUUCUCAGAACAAGUUCAAAAGAUGACUCAAUACUUAGCAUCAUAAUAAUGCCUUCUCAAUAAACACAAAAACUAAGCGGAACUACGUUCUUCAUCAUGGAAAUGCUACCAGAACUGGCCUCAGUAGACCAAGUGGGGGGUCCGUGGCCCUUAAUGGACGUCAUACAACUUUAUGUCAUUCAUUCAUUUUCUACUGCUGUUCCUCAUGAGGGUUGCGGGGGUGCUGGAGCCUAUCCCAGCUGUCUUUGGGCGAGAGGCGGGGUACACCCUGGACUGGUGGCCAGCCAA